ensembl:lncRNA LINC01229 long intergenic non-protein coding RNA 1229
AAUGGAGAACUCCAAGGGCAGGAGGUAACCAUUAAAGAGGACCAUCAUGUAGUGUGAGGAGUCAACAUUUCACACUAGAAAGCCCUUGGUUCAAGUUUUGUCUCUGCCACCUACAGAUUUUGUAACCCUGAGGAAACUAGCUACCUCUUUAUGUACUGCCCUAUGGAGAGGCACACAUGUCAAGAAACUGAGGGAGUGCCUUCCAGUCAACAGCCAGCCAGGAACUAAGGUGCUCAGUACAGCAGCCUCCACAAAGGACUGAACAAUGCCAACAGCUAUUUGACUGUGCUUGGAAGAUCUCCGUUUAGUUAACCCUUCAGAUGAGACCGCAGCCCUGGCCAGCAAACAAAUUGCAGCCUAUGGAAAGACCUUAAGGCAGAAGCACCCAACUGAACCACCCGAGGGCUCUGACUUACAGAAACUGUGAGCAUAUAGUGAAAUGGCCUCUACCUUAUUUUGAAUGGAUUUCUGGGAUAAAGUUCUUCAGUGAUAACAUGUUUGAAUGAUGCUGCCUGGAGUUAAAGGAGGCCAGGAGCACCAGAAGCUGGAGGAGGCCGGGGUGGAUUCUCGCCUGGAGGCUUCAGUGGGAGCACGAGCUCCCGACACUUCGGUUCCAUCUCUUGUUUAAAGGCACCCAGUUUCUCAUCAUUUGUUACAGCACCAUGGAAAACCCACACACAAGUGAAGCCCCGACCCACCUCCCAAGUGCCCAUCUGAGCACCCCUCGUGGACUCUGAGCAGGGGGUUGCCAUCACCAACUCCAAGUCUUGCAGCCCCUCUUCCCUUCAGUCUGGCUGCCACCUUCUUCAUUGCCCUGGAAAAAAAUAAUGAAGUUUCACCAUUUAAAGGGUUUCAGUGCAGCUUGCUAUGGGAACACUGGAGAGUAACACAAAUGGCCAAUUGUCCUAAUAGCCACCAUGGAUUGGAUGGAUGCUAACAACAGGCUCACAGUUCUCCUUCUGUUGCCUCCUUUUAUCCACAUGAGAAUCAAACAAGACUACUGAUUAAAUGAAGCCUUUGAUGAAGUGCAUGCAGUUUGUAGCUUGAUUCAUGGGAAUACUCAUCACAGACUGAAAGUGUAACCCAGGGUCUCUGGGUUUUUGGGAACGCGCUGUGUAAAAGUAUCUACUUGUAACUGUUACUCCCUGAGUUGUUGUUGUUUUAGAAAGUUCCAAGAAGAAGCUUAGCCUUGGAAAAAACAAAAACUGGUUGAAUCCAGAAGUGGAGAUGAAUUUUGGCCAACGCUCCUCACUGCCACACUAAAAACCCUGCUCAGAGAGGAGCUUAUUCACCAUGUUCUAUUCAUGCAAUGUGUGUGGAAACAUGAUCUACGACAGCAUGCGUGCUGCCUUCACCCUACCUCUACAUACAAUGACUCAUUUAACCUGCUGAAUAAAAGCCCUGUUUUCACCUUUGCUGGGGGAGGUGCCGCUUUGGGAACUAUUCGCAGUGUCCUCUUCACUUUUUGCAAGUAAUAGAAUACCCUUGUUAAAUCCUA